rnacentral:lncRNA from 1 species
CACAAUCUGUUUGAACGAGAUAACGUUGAUUCCACUCAUUUGAUGCAACUCACAGAGUUGGCUAUACCGGGUUUCGCGAACUUGGUUCCUACAAAAUCGUUGCCUAGUGCCGUGCUCCGCAAGGAAUAUGAGUCGUUUUUCAUGAGCUAUGCAAAAGGUCUCAAGAAUACUGAUGGCAUUAUUGUUAAUUCAUUUGAAGAGCUAGAACCGCAUGCGGUUCACUCAUUUUCCUCUCAUCCUGAUCUAUCUGGUUUACCGAUAUAUCCAGUGGGACCCAUACUAAACCCAGAGCCCAAGACAAAGAGUACAGUUGAUUAUGAUGAUAUCAUCAAUUGGCUUGAUGAUCAACCUCCUUCUUCCGUAGUUUUCCUUUGCUUCGGGAGCAGGGGUUUUUUCGAUGAGGAUCAGGUUAAGGAGUUUGCAGUUGCUGUUGAGAAUAGUGGGGUCCGCUUCGUGUGGUCUCUACGUAAACCUCCACCGAAGGGCACCAUGAUUCCUCCUACUGAUUACCCACUUUCUGAAUUGGUUUCGGUUUUACCCGAAGGGUUCUUAGAUCGAACAGUAGAGAUUGGUAGGGUAAUUGGAUGGGCUCCACAAGCCCAAGUACUAGCCCAUCCAGCCACAGGAGGAUUUGUUUCGCAUUGUGGUUGGAAUUCCACACUCGAGAGUAUAUAUUAUGGUGUGCCUGUUGCCACGUGGCCGCUCUAUGCUGAACAACAAACAAAUGCUUUUGAAUUGGUGUGUGAGUUGAAGAUGGCUGUGGAGAUUGCAUUGGAUUAUAGAGUGGAGUUACUUGAUGGGGCUAACUAUCUUUUAACUGCCGAUAAGAUUGAGAGAGGAAUAAGGAAUGUGUUGGAUACGGAUGGAGAGGUAAGUAAGAACGUGAAAGUGAUGAGUGAAAAGAGUAGGAAAACUUUGUUAGAGGGAGGAUCUUCCUACAAUUAUUUAGGUCGUUUGAUUGAUAAUAUUAUGAGUCAAGUAUCAAAUUAAAUUAUCCUAGUACCCAAUUUCAAAAAGGUUAGAGGCUAUUGGUUAAAUAAAUAUAUUUCAAAGCUUUCAACCAUUGAGUAAUCAUUGUUGUAGUGUGUAACUGCUGAUGAUCAAAUAUAAUUUUGACAGUCAAAAAUUGAACUUAGAAAUUGUUAUAUUUUGUAUAUGCAAGAGGCAUGUUUGAACUUAUAAAUUGUUUUUUGGAUUCUGGUUUGGGAAUUAUUUUUGAAGUAUAUUAUGCUUGAUGUCUACAAACUGACACUAUUAUUUUUGUUGUCAAGUGUAGUUUGUGUGUAUUUUUUGAAAUAUGUGUAAAGCGUUGAAGAUAAAAAGUAGGAGAGAGGCUGAGACAAACAUAUACAGUGUCACAUACGAUUUCGAUGUUCAAAUAACACAACUCAAGUGUGUGCAUAAGCUUCAUUCAUUGACUAGAAGUUCAUAAAUAUAGAAGGAUCAAAUACACUACACAAAAACAAUAGGUCAUAACUUAAACACUAGUAAAUAUUGCUCCAAAGGAGUAAAUGAGUCAUCUGCAGCAUGCUACAAUUAAGCUUUGCCCUUAUCACCGAUGAUAAAAAAGCUUCCUCGUAGCACAAUAUCCUUUUACUUCAUAAUAUGGCCUAUGAGUGGUUACAUUGCUCAUACACCCAACUUCCAUUGCUUCAAACUGUUAAGAAUUUCAAACAGCUUGCCAACAUCCUUAGCAUCAGCCAACAACAAUGAUCAAAAUUAAAGGCCAUCAUCCCAAUCAACUAGACAACAAUAAAGCCAAAAUUCUGCAUCACCUAGAACCAUAAGAUUGCAGUCCAAAGGUAUGCUCUUUUCAAAAAUUCAGGACUGCAAAGAAAAAAGAGGUAGCCAGAAAUGUACUGUCUUUGUCACAUGUAUGCCCCACAAAGACACAACCAAAGCAUAUAUUAUGAAUUAUUGAAUAAUUCCAACAAGAUAAGAACAAUUAAGUAUUACAAUUCCUUGUUCACCAUGAAAUUUUCCAAAGUCAAUACCCAAUAUAUACAUGAUAAUAUUAGUAAGAACUAAAAUUGACAAUAGCCCCACCAUCCAUUGUCCAAUAAUAUAAAAACAAAUAUUUCAAUCUCACAUUAGUUUUCAAUAUCCCAUACCAGCUAGCAAAGCCAUGACAUCAAUCCCAUGAUUCAUGGACAGAUCUGAUGUAGUAAUAAAAUACAGUUUUUUAUCUCGACUCUCGAUAUAAGAUCAGACGGUUCAUAUAAAAAAAUUGUCUUUUCCUAUUUCCUAUAUAAAAGAACAAGUAUACCAAAGAAAAAUUAAAAAGAAACAGUAACUCACAGAAUAAGGGUAUGUCCUGAGCUACAAGAUGAAGAAAGCAGAAGUGGUGAUUAUCCCUUCUCCUGGUGUAGGCCAUCUAGUUUCCACCCUUGAGUUCGCGAAGCUUCUAAUUAACCGUGACAACCGUCUCCGAAUAACUGUUUUAGUUAUCAAAUUUCCACAUACAACAGAAACUGAUGUAUACACAAAAUCACUUCCUAUCUCCGAUUCUCUCAACGUCAUCAAUCUUCCAGAUUGUUCUCUUCCACCAACCUCCAAACCAGGUCCAGCCAUGGCAUUUACUCUACUGGAAGCUCAGAAACAAAAUGUCAAAAAAGUCGUCUCCAACCUCACUACCGGAGAACAACAUGGACACCUUGCUGCCUUCGUUGUUGACAUGUUCUGCACCACCAUGAUUGAUAUUGCAAAAGAAUUUUCUGUCCCUGCGUUUGUGUUCUUCACUUCCGGUGUUGCUUUUCUUGGCUUGUGUCUUUAUAUUCACAAUAUGUUUGAACGAGAUAACGUUGAUUCCACUCAUUUUCUGCAACGCACAGAGUUGGCUAUCCCGAGUUUCGCUAACUUGGUUCCUACAAAAUCGUUGCCAGGUGCCGUGUUGCACAAGGAAUUUGAGUCAUAUUUCAUGACCUAUGCAAAAGGUCUCAAGAAUGCUGAUGGCAUUAUUGUUAAUUCAUUUGAAGAGCUAGAAUCGCACGCGGUUCACUCAUUUUCCUCUCAUCCGGAUCUGGUUGGUUUACCGAUAUAUCCAGUGGGACCCAUACU